UUUGUUUUUAAUUGACAUUCAUCUGUUAUAGCUGCAUUUGUCAUGUAAAAAUUUUCCCUCUUUCUUUUAUAGGUUUCUGUGGCUUUUUAAAAAUGACAUGACAAACAUAAACUAUUGUAAUAUUUCUACAUUCGAUGCUGAUAAAUGAUUUUUCAAAAAAAUAAAUUAAAAUUAAAAAUUCAUGAAAUAUUUUUUAUAUUUUCUUCAUUUUAAAAAAUAAUUUUAAUAAUAUAUAAUAACAUUUUAUUAACUAUUUUAAAAUAUAAUAAAAAUAAUAUAUUUAAAGGGCAUAUUUUUUAAGCACGCUUUAGGCGCCUGAUAAGUCCGGACCGGCACUGGUUGAAUUAAGUAAAAAAAAGUGUCGCUAGUGACUUAACGCUAUAAUCUAAUAAAAAUCCCGAUUAGACAUGGUGUAAAACAUAAAACAAGAAAAAAGAAAAGAGUUAAAUCAAUAGUAUCAGUCCUUUCGGGAACAUCUGAUCAAAUUCAAAAGUAUUGUUGGUAAUAAAUAAUUAAAUAAAUCGAAAAAAGGCCCAGUGGGCUAUUUAUUUUCAUGGCAUGCGAAUCGUAAAAAAACGUCGAAAAAAAAGAAAAAAGAAAAAAGAAAAAAGUAGAAGACAUGCUCUGCUAAGUGGUCGCUGUCUUCACUCUCUCAUCUUCUCUGUGUAUUUGGCAGUUGAAUUUCUCUGCAUGCAAAAUCUAGUUUUAGAUUUCGUGUUGGAUUCUCAGUACCUUAUUAACUUCCCAAUCUACCCCUGUCAUCAAACGUCAACGUUAAUAUCUCUCUUCCUUCUUUCUCUCUCGCACAGAGAUACACUAUACAUACAAUAUAUUGCAUAUGAUAUAUGUAGGAUUUAGUUUAAUUAUCUAUCGUGAUUUUAAUGAUUUGUCUAUUAUUGUGUUUCUCCUUUCUCUUUCACCAUACAUGCAAAAUCUCC
rnacentral:lncRNA from 1 species